rnacentral:sRNA from 1 species
GCAUUUAAAAUGUUUCAUGUGAUUAAACACGGAAAGAAACGUUAUUACUUCUGUUUCUUAGGCCUGUGCUCCUCUAACUGAUUCUUCUUUUGUGCCUGGAACAAUGCCUUUAAUUUGAAAACAAAGCUAUUAAGAAUGGCAAAGGAUUGCAUAGCAAGAAGGAAGUGCCUAUCCACCGUGUUGCAGAUAUAUCUGGGGAUACCCAAAAAGCAAAGCAGUUCCUGCCUUUUCUUCAGCGGGCAGGUCGUUCUGAAGCUGUGGUGGAAUACGUCUUCAGUGGUUCUCGUCUCAAACUCUAUUUGCCAAAGGAAACUUGCCUUAUCACCUUCUUGCUUGCAGGUGGAGGUGGAGGUGGAGAGCAUGGACAAGGCUGGCAACUUUAUCGGCUGGCUGCACAUCGACGGUGCCAACCUGUCCGUCCUGCUGGUGGAGCACGCGCUCUCCAAGGUCCACUUCACCG